rnacentral:rRNA from 1 species
AACGAACGCUGGCGGCAUGCCUAACACAUGCAAGUCGAACGAGACCUUCGGGUCUAGUGGCGCACGGGUGCGUAACGCGUGGAAACCUGCCCUUAGGUUCGGAAUAACUCCCCGAAAGGGGUGCUAAUACCGGAUAAUGUCUUCGGACCAAAGAUUUAUCGCCUUUGGAUGGGCCCGCGUUGGAUUAGCUAGUUGGUAGGGUAAAAGCCUACCAAGGCGACGAUCCAUAGCUGGUCUGAGAGGAUGAUCAGCGACACUGGGACUGAGACACGGCCCAGACUCCUACGGGAGGCAGCAGUGGGGAAUAUUGGACAAUGGGGGAAAGCCUGAUCCAGCAAUGACGCGUGAGUGAUGAAGGCCUUAGGGUUGUAAAGCUCUUUUACCCGGGAUGAUAAUGACAGUACCGGGAGAAUAAGCUCCGGCUAACUCCGUG